rnacentral:sRNA from 1 species
UAACCAGGGGUUUGGUCCCCUAGGAUCUA